UACGGGGGGGCAAGCGUUGUUCGGAAUUACUGGGCGUAAAGGCUCGUAGGCGGCCAACUAAGUCAGACGUGAAAUCCCUCGGCUUAACCGGGGAACUGCGUCUGAUACUGGAUGGCUUGAGUUUGGGAGAGGGAUGCGGAAUUCCAGGUGUAGCGGGUGAAAUGCGUAGAUAUCUGGAGGAACACCGGUGCGAAGGCGGCAUCCUGGACCCAACACUGACGCUGAGUGAGCGAAAGCCAGGGGGAA
rnacentral:rRNA from 1 species